rnacentral:misc_RNA from 1 species
GAAAUGCGAUAAGUAGUGUGAAUUGCAGAAUUCAGUGAAUCAUCGAAUCUUUGAACGCAUAUUGCGCCCUUUGGUAUUCCUUAGGGCAUGCCUGUUCGAGCGUCAUCUAAACCUUCAAGCCCUGCUUGGUGUUGGGUGCCUGUCCCGCCUCCGCGCGCGGACUCACCUCAAAUCCAUUGGCGGCCCCCGCGUCGGCCACGAGCGCAGCAGAAACGCGAACUCGUGAGCCCGUCCGGGCGGCUCCCAGAAGCUACACCCACCCAGUUUGACCUCGGAUCAGGUAGGGAUACCCGCUGAACUUAAGC